GUUUCUUUCAGGGCAAUUCUUAACAAAGAGAACACAGAAAGUUUUUCUCGGGGAAGAGGCAGCUAGAUUCCUGUCUCUUGGUUAGCACAUUUUUGCCUCUUGAUACUUCUUCUGUAUCCAUAUAGGACAGAAUUGAGGAGCAGAAUAAGGCGUCUGUGGGUAAUGUUAGGGCUAUGGUAGAGAGUGACCAAAGACAGAACCUAUGAAUGGAGGAGAUCCAGAGCAGUAGUGCCCAUGGACUAUAACUUUCAUCAUAUUGAUUCAAAUAUUAGAACUUCACAUACUGGGUGUCAGUAUGUGUACCCAUCCACUUGGGCAGUAAAGUAAGUUUUCUACAAGUGAGGAUAGUCAGUGCUGAUAAGCAUGCUAUAAUAAAAUGACCUUUUCAAUUCUCUUUUCCAUACCAUUAUAAAAUGGCACACAAAUUCAGCACUUGUACCUUAAAAGCCUGGGGAUAAAUGCAUAUGGGAACUCAAUUCUUUUUUCAGGUGUUAGAAAGUCAAGACAUUAUGCAUCUAUCAGUGGGCUGAGUUAACACCAUAUUAGGGAUACUUCAUUAUUCAAUUUAUUAUUUCUGUAGCAAAAUAUCUGGGUAUUUAAAAAACUAGAGCAAAUACAAUUUAUAAUGAGCCUCUGAUAAAGGAAAAGAAAAGCAACUACUCCCCGAUCAGAAACU
rnacentral:lncRNA from 1 species